ACGGCGAGCGAAGAGGGAAGAGUCCAGCGCCGAACUCCACCGAAUGUAGGCGGUCGGAGUCUGUGGCGUUAGGGAGGGAGCGUGCCGGUGGACGGACGUCGGAGCAAGUCCUCCUGAACGGGGCUGUUUCCCAGAGCGGGUGCCAGGCCCAUAGGUCCGACGACCCCGCCGGAUAGCGAUCCUCUCCAGAGUCGGGUUACUUGGAAGUGUAACUCUAAGGAGGUGGUAAACUCCACCCAAGGCUAAAUACUGCCGUGAGACCGAUAGCGAACAAGUACCGUGAGGGAAAGUUGCAAAGAACUUUGAAGAGAGAGUUCAAGAGUACGUGAAACUGCUGAGAGGCAAACUGGUGGGCCCUCGAAAUCCCGUCUGCGGGGAGAUUCAGUCGGGUGUCGGCGGCCGUCUCGCAAUGGGUCUGUCGCAACCGAAGAUCGGGGCACAUUCCGAGAGGCGAGUUCGCCGGAACCCGACGCAUUUCCCGCCCGCACGAAAGGACGCCGCAGCCGGUCGGGUAGCUGCGCGUGUCGGCCAUGAGGACGUGGCGACGGCAGGUGACCGGCGGCCCUAGGCUUCUCCGGAGGCACUAACGGUCGACGGUUGAUUAGCCGGCUCGUCCGUGGCGCGACACCCGACCGAGGAAACACGGACAAAAUUUUCUCUCCACGGAGAGAAACUUAUAAUCCACUACUUUCAUACGAGAGCGAGCCGUCGGACAGGCGCGUUCCUGCGUGGUCGGACAGUCACCGCACUGGUCGAUCUGGUGGGAGCGCGUCGUUGGUUUCC
rnacentral:rRNA from 1 species